GCCACCAAAUUAAAAUGUUCUAAACCUGUAUAUUCUCCUCCUCCACAACUUUAAGAACCUUAACUAUGCUUGCCAACCCAACAACCUCAUUUUCAUUCAACGAUCACCAAACACUUUGUAUGUAGAGUCCAUACGCCCAAAAGUUCCCAAAAAACCCUAAGACUUCCUUGUCCUCCUCACCAUCACCAUGGCCAUCAUCUUCUCUACUAAGGGUUUCCUUGUUCAUCAUGCCAUCAAGGGCUUCAUCAUCCUUUUCAAGAACUAUUCUCUCCUCACUAUCUCGAAGAGAAAGGGUUCUAAUUCCUCAACUUCUUCCAAAGGCUCUUAAUCAAAAUCGGAUCACUCACAAGAUCACAUAUUUUAUGAUAGACCAAACCAACUACAAGAUCAAAGAGGGUGAUUUAAAUUGAAAAUAUGAAAACACACCUUGACCGUCUACGACAUCCUCAACCUCCAGCAGCCAUUGCAACCUCUUGUGCACUUUGAAAACAGGCCUAAAGGAUAGCAUGAUUAAAUUUCCGAAACCAAGCUUCUAGGACCAUAAAUGCCUUCCAAAGCUCCCGCUCUAGGUUAGAAUUGAGAGAAACAUAACUACGGGGUCAAUGUCACAAGAAAAUUGACUUCUAGAUGUCCACAAAAGAGGGCAAUUUUGAUUGUCAAUUUGCAAAAGUUCAAACUAGGUUAAGAUGUGAUAUCUUGGUUGCAAGAGGGAGAUUUGGGGUUCAAACCACCUUAUGCAUGCAAGCCAACCUACUUAAAAAAGAGAAGAUGAAGGCUCAUUUCCUUGAGGAUCAACAUACAAAUGAAUUAUGAUGCUGUGAGAUUGUCUCUCAAGGACAACAGAUACUACAUGUACAAUCACUCCGCAAUCAGACAAGUGUGCAUUGCCUCGCAGCUAAAAAGCUGUUUGGGUUUUCUUUCAGGACUCAUAUCUUGGCUUUGCAUAUCCCCAAAAGGGCUCAAAAUGAGGUUUGCUCAUUCCAAAAGCAAAAAACAGAUGGAAUGAGCAUUUCCCGAUUUUUUCUUAAGCUUGAUCUUGCGCAUUAGGUCAAGUGCUGGCCGCUAACCUCCUCUCUAUCUUCUCUUUUCUCUCUCUUUCCAUUGUUGCAGUCCCAGUCAACCCUUCUCCUCUGCCUCAACAAUCUCUCCUCACAAAGAAACCAAAGUACAAUACCCUCUAAGAUUCACAAUAAUUUUUGCUGCAGUUUGCAAUCCAUUGUUAAGUUAUUUUCUUGCAGAUAAGACCAACUAUUCUUUAGGCUUGAAGCAAUGGCAUUAAGAAAUCGCAGAGCGUUGGAGAGAGAACGAAGAAGGGGAAGCAGAUACAAGUUCAAUAAGAGGAAGAGAGAGAAAAGGAUGAGGAACAUAGGGUAGAGUGAAAAAAGGGGGACAAAAGGACAAGGAGGAAGAGAGAAAGAAUAGAGCAGCUAUUGGGGUUGGAGGAGAGGUUUGCAAUCCUGCCACUAUGAGGAAGCUCGUUCUCCUUUGUGGAUCAAACCAAUCACUGAAAGAGUCACACCAUUGAUAAUAAUGGGUUCCCUCUCCAUUAUUGUUAUCUUGAUCACUUCCUAUUGAUGUUUUCAAGAGAUAUUUCUUUUUCGGGAGCUUCAAGGGCGGGCAGUAUUUUUCUGGUUUGUAUUGGGGGAGUGGACCUCCCAAUUUGUAUUUUUAGGUAUACGUUGAAGUUUGUUGAAUAAAGAAAUGAAGCUGUAAAUCUUGAUAUAUUUUGUUGAACAAGAGAAAUGAAGCUUUAAACCUUGAAAUCUCAUGUUGGUUUUAAUGGUUUCCUGUGUUUGAUCCCUGGUGAAUGUAGUACUAUAUAACUAUGAGCUUUCCUUGUCAAAA